GACGAACGCUGGCGGCGUGCUUAACACAUGCAAGUCGAACGGAAAGGCCCUGCUUUUGUGGGGUGCUCGAGUGGCGAACGGGUGAGUAACACGUGAGUAACCUGCCCUUGACUUUGGGAUAACUUCAGGAAACUGGGGCUAAUACCGGAUAGGAGCUCCUGCUGCAUGGUGGGGGUUGGAAAGUUUCGGCGGUUGGGGAUGGACUCGCGGCUUAUCAGCUUGUUGGUGGGGUAGUGGCUUACCAAGGCUUUGACGGGUAGCCGGCCUGAGAGGGUGACCGGCCACAUUGGGACUGAGAUACGGCCCAGACUUCUACGGGAGGCAGCAGUGGGGAAUAUUGCACAAUGGGCGGAAGCCUGAUGCAGCAACGCCGCGUGCGGGAUGACGGCCUUCGGGUUGUAAACCGCUUUCGCCUGUGACGAAGCGUGAGUGACGGUAAUGGGUAAAGAAGCACCGGCUAACUACGUGCCAGCAGCCGCGGUGAUACGUAGGGUGCGAGCGUUGUCCGGAUUUAUUGGGCGUAAAGGGCUCGUAGGUGGUUGAUCGCGUCGGAAGUGUAAUCUCGGGGCUUAACCCUGAGCGUGCUUUCGAUACGGGUUGACUUGAGGAAGGUAGGGGAGAAUGGAAUUCCUGGUGGAGCGGUGGAAUGCGCAGAUAUCAGGAGGAACACCAGUGGCGAAGGCGGUUCUCUGGGCCUUUCCUGACGCUGAGGAGCGAAAGCGUGGGGAGCGAACAGGCUUAGAUACCCUGGUAGUCCACGCUGUAAACGGUGGGUACUAGGUGUGGGGUCCAUUCCACGGGUUCCGUGCCGUAGCUAACGCUUUAAGUACCCCGCCUGGGGAGUACGGCCGCAAGGCUAAAACUCAAAGGAAUUGACGGGGCCCCGCACAAGCGGCGGAGCAUGCGGAUUAAUUCGAUGCAACGCGUAGAACCUUACCUGGGUUUGACAUGGAUCGGGAGCGCUCAGAGAUGGGUGUGCCUCUUUUGGGGUCGGUUCACAGGUGGUGCAUGGCUGUCGUCAGCUCGUGUCGUGAGAUGUUGGGUUAAGUCCCGCAACGAGCGCAACCCUUGUUCACUGUUGCCAGCACGUUAUGGUGGGGACUCAGUGGAGACCGCCGGGGUCAACUCGGAGGAAGGUGGGGAUGACGUCAAGUCAUCAUGCCCCUUAUGUCCAGGGCUUCACGCAUGCUACAAUGGCUGGUACAGAGAGUGGCGAGCCUGUGAGGGUGAGCGAAUCUCGGAAAGCCGGUCUCAGUUCGGAUUGGGGUCUGCAACUCGACCUCAUGAAGUCGGAGUCGCUAGUAAUCGCAGAUCAGCAACGCUGCGGUGAAUACGUUCCCGGG
rnacentral:rRNA from 1 species